GGGACUGUUGUGUUAACGUGUUCCGAUCGUAGAUUAAGGAUUUAACUACAUAACUAGUACAUUGCCAUUGUUUGAUCAGGGGUAGCUGGAGAACACAUGAAAAAAAUUUUCUGUUACAAUUUGAAAAGGUGCGCUGCUAACAGAAAUGGCUGCUGACGGGGAAGACGUGACCCGUUCUAAAGACACAAGCCAUGUGCUUCAAACAAGCUACAGUGCAGAGCUAACUUUAGACAUAAAUGAUCCAGGAUUAAAACAUUUUAAGGACAAGUUAAUUGUAAGGAUGGAGGAUGCGAUCACGAUUUUGUACACAAGGACAUUAUUUUAGCUAGAGGGCACAGAGGGAAACACCUACAUACUCCAUACCUCCAGGCCAUUGGCCAAACCUGCCACACCUGGACAUGGGACACUACAAAUCCCUGUGAGGAGCCGGCUGAAGCUCCUCCCAGUCACAGCUUGUCUCUGUACUCGGACCAAAGUGCUGGAAUGACCUCUGGACCACCAUCAGGACAGCACAGCUGCUGUCCAUCUCUCACUUCAGACAACACCUUGGCUCCCUCAACCCCAUACUCCCUAAGCACUCCACCAUACACUCUCAGAAACAACGAUUAUUUGGCUUAUCUCAAUAGAGGAGCCCUUUUCAGUUCUUUAUGGAAGCCUCUAUCAUAGGUGUGAAGUGUGAAAGCUCCCAGACAAAGAACCAUUUUGCACGACAAAGAAACCUAGAUAGGGCUCUACUAUGGAAUCCAUGGGAUCCUUUUGGAACCAUUUUUUUCUGCUGGCAUAGCUGCCAGCUUCUAUUGCCAAAGUUGUAGCAACCUAUAUGAGGUUCAGUGUAAUGUUAACUUUGUUAUUGAAUUAUGUCAAGUAAAACCAUGAAAUGAUUAUGUCCGUAAUUGGGCUGGAAAUAAAACAGUCGAUUCAUUGGUUUGGGGAAAAAGGCAGGAGUUACCCUAACUGUAGCAAAGGGACAUCUGUGAGGCACCAGGUACUGCGCUGGUUGCUGCAACGUCAGGCUUCUCCCACUUCUCCAGUUUAGUUGCUUGUACUAAAUUCUUUGAAUACAAGUGAGGGUAAAAAGCCAACAGUGAAGCGCUCAAGUAAUUCCAUUAUAGUUUGGGACACAAUUUCCUAAGAUGGUUUGUGUCACGUUUCAUGUUUGUCACGUCAUGUUUCAUGUUUAGUCAUUGUCUUAGUUAUGUUAUUGUCAUGUCACGUAUUAUGUUAGUCUAGUCUCACCAUGUUGUUAUGCUUUAUUUCUUGUUACAUUUAAUUUUCAUGUCAUGUUACGUUUCAUGUUUAGUUGUUAUGAUUUAAUUGUUAGUCUUGUCUUGCCACGUUAUGUGGUUUAUUCAUGUCAUAUUUCGCAAACUUAUGUCACGAUUUAUGUUGUUUCAUGUUAUGUUGUUCUGUUCAUUGAUUAGCAUAUACUUUUUUGUGUCUUUCUGCAAACCUUGCAUUCAUGCUUUUUCUCUCUCUCCCUUUCUGUCACUCACGCUUCCCUAAUUGUUUCAAUUUCCCUUGUCUUCUUACUAAUCUACUAACUUUAGAUCAGGAUUGGGCAAUACUAACAUUCUAACCAUGUUUUCAUGUUACCUUACGUUUCUUGUGCAUGUCAUUUACUAAUUUACUAACGCUAGGGCAGGAUAGGUUAUUACUAACGAUGACUAAUUAUCUCGUUAACUUGUCAAUCCUCCACACCUGAUUUCCAUUCUCAUGCUACUCUCAAGCGAAUUGUCUACACCUGUCUACACCUGCCUAUAUAGCUCAGUUCCAUGUCAUGUCUUUGCAAAAUUGUUGCCUCCUGUUCGUCAGUGUACUUUUGAGCAUUUCUGUCAAGCUAUUGUCUACCCGUUAAGAUCCAAGCCUGUUUAUUGACCAUCGUUAUUGACUUCUGUUUUGUUGACCAUUGCCUGCCGGUACCACAAACUUUGCCUCCUGUUUGUCAACAUUGGUCGUUACUCUUGCGCCGUCAUCGACCCCGAGCCUGCCUACUGUCUGCCUGUGCUUUUGCCUCACUGACAGCUUUCCUGGUUACUGGACUUUUUGCAUGGUGUACCGAUUACGAGACUGCCUUCUCCCUCGGUACUGUACUUUGGUUUUGGCUGGAUUUCACGUGUAUGAACUUUGCUUGUUUUUUGACCACGCUCACUGGACAUUCCCCGAAUAAAGCCCUGACAGGACUGUAUUACA